UACGAAGGGGGCUAGCGUUGCUCGGAAUCACUGGGCGUAAAGCGCACGUAGGCGGCUUGUUAAGUCAGGGGUGAAAUCCUGGAGCUCAACUCCAGAACUGCCUUUGAUACUGGCGAGCUCGAGUCCGGGAGAGGUGAGUGGAACUGCGAGUGUAGAGGUGAAAUUCGUAGAUAUUCGCAAGAACACCAGUGGCGAAGGCGGCUUCCUGGACCGGUUCUGACACUGAGGAGCGAAAGCGUGGGGAGCGAUCCGG
rnacentral:rRNA from 1 species